rnacentral:misc_RNA from 1 species
AACGCACAUUGCGCCCUUUGGUAUUCCGAAGGGCAUGCCUGUUCGAGCGUCAUUAUAACCACUCAAGCCUUUGCUUGGUCUUGGGGCUCGCGGUUCCGCGGCCCCUAAAAUCAGUGGCGGUGCCUGUCGGCUCUACGCGUAGUAAUACUCCUCGCGUCUGGGUCCGGUGGGUGACUUGCCAGCAACCCCCAAUUUUUUUCAGGUUGACCUCGGAUCAGGUAGGGAUACCCGCUGAACUUAA